rnacentral:tRNA from 1 species
GCCUUUGUGGUGUAGUGGUCAGCAUGCUUGGUAUCUAUUUUAGAGGUCUGUGGUUCGAGUCCCGGCGAGGGCA